rnacentral:rRNA from 1 species
GCCUAAAGCGUCCGUAGCCGGCUCUGUAAGUUUUCGGUUAAAUCCAUAUGCUCAACAUAUGGGCCGCCGGGAAUACUGCAUAGCUAGGGAGUGGGAGAGGUAGACGGUACUCCGUAGGAAGGGGUAAAAUCCUUUGAUCUAUGGAUGACCACCUGUGGCGAAGGCGGUCUACCAGAACACGUUCGACGGUGAGGGAUGAAAGCUGGGGGAGCAAACCGGAUUAGAUACCCGGGUAGUCCCAGCUGUAAACGAUGCAAACUCAGUGAUGCAUUGGCUUGUGGCCAGUGCAGUGCCGCAGAGAAGUCGUUAAGUUUGCCGCCUGGGAAGUACGUACGCAAGUAUGAAACUUAAAGGAAUUGGCGGGGGAGCACCACAAGGGGUGAAGCCUGCGGUUCAAUUGGAGUCAACGCCAGAAAUCUUACCCGGAGAGACAGCAGAAUGAAGGUCAAGUUGAAGCCUUUACCAGACAAGCUGAGAAGUGGUGCAUGGCCGUCGCCAGCUCGUGCCGUGAGGUGUCCUGUUAAGUCAGGUAACGAGCGAGAUCCUUGCCUCUAGUUGCUACCAUUACUCUCAGGAGUAGUGGAGCGAAUUAGCGGGACUGCCGUAGUUAAUACGGAGGAAGGAGAGGGCCACGGCAGGUCAGUAUGCCCCGAA